GUGACUCUUUAGGUCACCAUCUCUCUUCCUCCUGCAAAUGCUGCAUGGCACUAAGCUUACCAGGAUCUAGAAGCAAACUACAAAAUAAGAAGAAAUUCUCUCUGAAGACUAUGAAGAAACAUUAGGCUGAUCUUCCCAAUUUCUGAAGUAUACUCUGUAAAAACUCCACUGAUUCUAUGAAUCUCUGGCAAAAACAACCAGACCAGGACAAAGUUCAACAGAUAACUGGUUAGUGUUUAGACAUGUCUAUGUCUACCAAGAACAAGGAACCAUAAAAGGCACUAAUGCUAUGAUUCAGGGAUAACAGAUGCUGACAUUAUCAAAUGCCAUGGCCUCUCCUUGCCCCGAUAUGGCCAGUGUAUGAAACUGCACUGCCAUCCAAAAGCACACUUGAGCAACUGGAUCUGCUAACCAGCUCCCAUAUAACCAGUAAAAAUAGAAGUCAGUUUUAUUGCUAUCUUCAGCACUUAAGUCUACGCAAUUUAACACCUGUUUCAUUUCUAUUAGAAUAAAUGGAAAGAGUCGUAGUUACAUUAAUUUCACCAGCAGCAUGAUACUUAACAACCAACAGAUGCACAAUAUACGUAAUAUGAGAAUUGUUUAAAUAUUGCCUGAAUUAGUGUUGACCUUCUCCCAGUUUAGUUCAAAACAUUAACUGUUUCUUUACUCUGCAUUUCACUGAAAGUACUUAAUUCAUUACUUUAUAGGCCAACUAUAAUUUCUCAAACUUUUAUUUUUGCAAGUAUAUUUCAGAGGAUAUCCCCUCCCUGAUUCUGAAAUGCAACACUGAAAUCACAUUAUAGCAAAAAUCUGCUCUACUGACUUUUAAAGGAUUACUUACCUGAUUUUAAUAUUCAAGUUCACUGAUUAUAGCUGUACACCAAAAGUCAAUGUAUUAUUAAGCUGAUAAUGGAAGUAACUAGGCAAUCUGUACGCAAAAUGAUAGAGAAUUCCGCAGGGGAAACAGACUUGAAAAGGGUUACAUUACUAACCUAGGAUUAGUAACACUACAUAAGCAAAAACAAAGAAAAAAGCUGGCAUGCAUGGUAGUGCCUUUCAACACAAGUCCAAGCAAUACAGUGAAUACACAUGUGAUCUAUUUAUAAACCAAAGGGCAGAGGUACUUUCUUAAGGCCACUCAUAUUCCUCCAUCCCUUCCCUGUCAGCAACUUGCUAUUAGUCCCAAGUAUAAUACUGAAGGAGCCACAGUAGAAAGGUAUGACUUUAGUGCUCUUCCCUAUUAGCUUAUUCACUUGGUUCAGUGCCUACAAACAGAAAAUAGUACUCUGAAAUACAUCAAGGUCUAUUUGUUCCUUUAAAUGCUGUUGGUUUU